AAAUGAAUAGACGGGGGCCCGCACAAGCGGAGGAGCAUGUGGUUUAAUUCGAUGAUACGCGAGGAACCUUACCUAGACUUGAACGUAUUUGGAAUGUGGUAGAAAUAUCUCAGCCAGCAAUGGCCAUUUACGAGGUGCUGCAUGGUUGUCGUCAGCUCGUGCCGUGAGGUGUUAGGUUAAGUCCUGCAACGAGCGCAACCCUUACCGUUAGUUACCAGCAUGUCAUGAUGGGGACUCUAGCGGAACUGCCGGCGCAAGCCGUGAGGAAGGUGGGGAUGACGUCAAAUCAGCACGGCCCUUACGUCUAGGGCGACACACGUGCUACAAUGGACGGUACAGAGGGCAGCUACACCGCGAGGUGAUGCUAAUCUCAAAAGCCGUUCUCAGUUCGGAUUGGAGUCUGCAACCCGACUCCAUGAAGUUGGAUUCGCUAGUAAUCGCGCAUCAGCCAUGGCGCGGUGAAUACGUUCCCGGGCCUUGCACACACCGCCCGU
rnacentral:rRNA from 1 species